GGAAAACCCUGGCUGCAAGGCAAGAUGUCCAGAUUAUAUUCAUAAGUCUGUAAAACUUUUGGAAUUAGUUAACUCUCUUCCUGAGACACUGGACUGGAUGUGACUUUGAAAACUCGGCCUAGGACUGUGGAAUUUAUGGAAUUUAUGAAAUUGUACUUGGAGUAGAAAGCUGAAUUUUCUGUGUUAAAAUUUGUCUGUAUCAGAUUUACAUUAG
rnacentral:lncRNA from 12 species